GCGGACAAUUUGUCGUCCUCGUAAUCCGAAAGCUUUUCGUUAGCACAAGAGCACGAAAACAGCCAUGAUUACUCGGUUACUAUAGAAACAAUACUACAUACGCGAUUGAUUAAACAUAAAUGUACGAAAGAUAUAAUAUACUGAGUUCCACCUCCAUUAACUAAGCCGAGUGACAACACGCAUGUAGGUAUAGACUUAAUGAAACGAUUAUUAUCACCGACACUUCCAGUUGCGGUCUGGCUACCAGAAAGGAAUUACUAACUCACGAUAAGAUGUACGUUAUAUUCAAGAAAUUAAAAAAAGAAACUUAAAAAUA